rnacentral:rRNA from 1 species
GACAUGCAGAGAACUUCCAGAGAUGGAUUGGUGCCUUCGGGAACUCUGACACAGGUGCUGCAUGGCUGUCGUCAGCUCGUGUCGUGAGAUGGUUGGGUUAAGUCCCGUAACGAGCGCAACCCUUGUCCUUAGUUACCAGCACGUUAUGGUGGGCACUCUAAGGAGACUGCCGGUGACAAACCGGAGGAAGGUGGGGAUGACGUCAAGUCAUCAUGGCCCUUACGGCCUGGGCUACACACGUGCUACAAUGGUCGGUACAAAGGGUUGCCAAGCCGCGAGGUGGAGCUAAUCCCAUAAAACCGAUCGUAGUCCGGAUCGCAGUCUGCAACUCGACUGCGUGAAGUCGGAAUCGCUAGUAAUCGUGAAUCAGAAUGUCACGGUGAAUACGUUCCCGGGCCUU